GGUAAGCGAUAAGGAGGCGAGAAUCCCUCCCACCGUAGAGCUAAGGGUUCCUGGGCCAGGUGAAUCCUCCCAGGGUAAGUCGGGAUCCUAAGGCGAGGCCGAAAGGCGUAGUCGAUGGACAUCAGGUUAAUAUUCCUGAACUUGGUAUUUAUCGUUUGACUGAAGGAGUGACGGAGAAAGGUAGCACAUCCAGAGAUUGGUUGUUCUGGUGUAAGGUCGUAGGUGGGGUCGGUAGGCAAAUCCGCUGGCCCAUUCAACACUGAGAACUGAUGCCUCGGCGUAAGACCAAGCCACGCUCACAAGAAAAGCUUUCGCCAUGCCGGACAAAUCUUUUGAAUCUUCGCUUUCCGGCGGUUCAGCUUUUUGGUUGCCGUCGUUCGUCAUAUUUUUGUUUUCUCCCGGGCAGGUUUUUCUAGCGAGUUGUUCCAGUGUGCGAUCGAUACCCAAAAAUUAUGAUUUUGCUUGAACCCGCACCCUACUUAUCUUUGAGGGUAUGGCCUUGAUUACCACAAAUAAUAUCAUAAAUCUACUGAUUCAAUAACCGCAUCAGAAAUAAAUCGGUUCU
rnacentral:rRNA from 1 species